GAACACAAAAAUCUAUCUGAAGGGAUAAACCUGGCCGGGAAAGACCAAGCUGCGUAGAAUGGUGGGUUCCAAAAGGUCCGUUAGACAUAGCUCAAUCUCAUGAGGUGCCAAGAUAACGAAACCAGAUAUGCUACUCCUUGCUCACCCCUGUAAGUCUUUCUCCUUCCCCGACUCGUCACUUCAUCUCGACAAUUUCAACUCACAAACCUCAGCAUCUGCAAAACCUUCAAGUUAUAGCUCCUUUUCCCCAAUUGGGUUGUCGAAAAGUCUGAAACUUUGUAGGAAUUUUCCCGUUUUGGGAAGUACCCGGAUUACGUUUUGCUCUAGGAGUGAGGUGUAUGAUAUUUUUCCAAGUACCCAUUUGGAGAACAAGUCUGAAGGGGAUGGGGUUGGAGAGAAUGAAGAGCUUGAGCUGCUGGAUAAGCCUUCCCAUGUACCUAUAAGUAAUGGGUCUGCUUUGGAAGUGGAUAAAGAUUCCGAAAAACCGGAUGAAGAAUCGGAAAUGAUUGAUAAAGACGAGGCAUUGGCGCCUUUCUUGAAGUUUUUCGCGCCGAGAGAUAGUGCGGAUGGAGAGGGAGUGGAAGGAAAGGGAGGGGAGGUUGGAGUUUUCGAGGAAGAAAGUGAAUUGGAUGGUGAUAAUGAGGAGGCUGAGAAGGUUAAUGUGGAAUACUAUGAACCGAAACCGGGUGAUUUUGUGGUUGGAAUUGUUGUUUCAGGCAAUGAGAAUAAACUUGAUGUGAAUGUCGGAGCAGACUUGUUGGGUACAAUGCUGACUAAGGAAGUGCUGCCUUUGUAUGACAAAGAGAUGGAUUACUUGUUAUGUGAUACGAAUUAUGAUGCCGAAGAGUUUAUGGUUAGAGGGAAGAUGGGAAUUGUGAAAAAUGAAGCUGUGAUGGGGGGACCUGUGCUGGGAGGGCCCGUUGUUGAAAUCGGAACUGUUUUGUUUGCUGAGGUUCUUGGAAGAACGCUCAGCGGUAGGCCUUUGCUUUCAACAAGACGGCUCUUCAGGCGAAUUGCUUGGCACCGAGUGAGGCAGAUAAAGCAACUCAAUGAACCUAUUGAAGUUAGAAUUACAGAAUGGAAUACUGGAGGCCUUCUGACAAGAAUUGAGGGUCUGCGAGCUUUCCUUCCAAAAACUGAGUUAAUGAGUAAAGUGAACAACUUCACUGAAUUGAAAGAGAAUGUGGGUUGCCGGAUGCAUGUGCAGAUUACUCGAAUAGACGAAACUAAGAAUGACUUAGUUUUGAGUGAGAAAGAAGCUUGGGAACUGUUAUACCUUAAGGAGGGAACACUUUUAGAAGGAACUGUCAAGAAAAUCUUUCCAUAUGGAGCCCAAGUGAGGAUAGGAGAAACUAACAGGAGUGGCUUGUUGCAUAUAUCAAACAUCACUCGUGCCCGAAUUACCUCUGUCAGUGACAUACUUAAGGUUAAUGAGAAGCUCAAAGUUCUGGUUGUGAAGUCGAUGUUUCCUGACAAAAUAUCUCUCAGCAUUGCUGACCUUGAAAGUGAGCCUGGCCUCUUUUUGUCGAACAGAGAGAAAUUAUUUUCGGAGGCUCAAAUGAUGGCAAAGAAGUAUAGGCAAAAGCUGCCUGCUGUUCUUGCCAACCGCAAGUCAGAAUCCCCUGAAAACGAUGCUCUGCCUUUUGACAAAUUAAGCAUGUAUGCAAAUUGGAAGUGGUUCAAAUUCGAAAGGUAAUAAGAACCAAGCUGAUGCUUAAGGUUGCCCUGUGAUACUGGUAGUUUGAAAGAGCACUGUUUAACUUUGCCGUCCAUCUCAAAGCACACAUUCCUCGAGAGUCGACAGAACCAAUUCCGAAAAGUUUGGUACAACUUCGGCACACCCUUGCAUAGCCGCGAAGCCUUCUUUGUGGAGCAACUUCCUUCAGUUCUAAUAAGGUGUGGGCUUGCCUUGGGGGUGCUCCCUAAGGAUAAAGUGUAGGAGGAAUGUAUUGAAUGAUCAUAGAAAAAGUAAUGACAGCCUUCACAAAUGUAACUAUUUAAAUACAAUUUGUUGAUAUUAUGUUAUAUACUAUUUACUAUGAAAUAAGUUGGUCUCGCGUUGUUUUGUU